CCGUAGCCAUUUUGGCUCAAGGUAAACGCUUGGCCCGGGCG
rnacentral:misc_RNA from 1 species